rnacentral:rRNA from 1 species
AUUGAACGCUGGCGGCAGGCUUAACACAUGCAAGUCGAGCGGAGCGAGGGUGCUUGCACCUUAGCUUAGCGGCGGACGGGUGAGUAAUGCUUAGGAAUCUGCCUAUUAGUGGGGGGCAACAUUCCGAAAGGAAUGCUAAUACCGCAUACGCCCUACGGGGGAAAGCAGGGGAUCUUCGGACCUUGCGCUAAUAGAUGAGCCUAAGUCGGAUUAGCCAGUUGGUGGGGUAAAGGCCUACCAAGGCGACGAUCUGUAGCGGGUCUGAGAGGAUGAUCCGCCACACUGGGACUGAGACACGGCCCAGACUCCUACGGGAGGCAGCAGUGGGGAAUAUUGGACAAUGGGCGGAAGCCUGAUCCAGCCAUGCCGCGUGUGUGAAGAAGGCCUUUUGGUUGUAAAGCACUUUAAGCGAGGAGGAGGCUCUUAAGGUUAAUACCCUUGAUGAGUGGACGUUACUCGCAGAAUAAGCACCGGCUAACUCUGUGCCAGCCGCCGCUGUAA